rnacentral:rRNA from 1 species
UUUAGUGGCGGACGGGUGAGUAACGCGUGAGAAUCUGCCUUUAGGACGGGGACAACAGUUGGAAACGGCUGCUAAAACCCGAUGUGCCCUUUGGGGUGAAAUAUUUAUAGCCUGAAGAUGAGCUCGCGUCUGAUUAGCUAGUUGGUGGGGUAAGAGCCUACCAAGGCGACGAUCAGUAACUGGUCUGAGAGGAUGACCAGUCACACUGGGACUGAGACACGGCCCAG